UAGGGAAUAUUGCAAAAUGGGCGAAAGCCCGAUGCAGCAACGCCGCGUGGGCGAUGAAGGCCUUCGGGUCGUAAAGCCCUUUUUGAGGGGAUGAGGAAGGACAGUACCCUCAGAAUAAGCCUCGGCUAACUACGUGCCAGCAGCCGCGGUAAAACGUAGGAGGCGAGCGUUAUCCGGAUUUACUGGGCGUAAAGCGCGUGCAGGCGGAUUGGAGAGUUGGAUGUGAAAGCUCCCGGCUUAACUGGGAGAGGUCGUUCAAUACUUCCAGGCUUGAGUGCAGUAGAGGGAAGUGGAAUUCCGGGUGUAGUGGUGAAAUGCGUAGAUAUCCGGAGGAACACCAGUGGCGAAAGCGGCUUCCUGGACUGUAACUGACGCUCAGACGCGAAAGCUAGGGUAGCAAACG
rnacentral:rRNA from 1 species